rnacentral:rRNA from 1 species
AUACGAAGGGGGCAAGCGUUGUUCGGAUUUACUGGGCGUAAAGCGUACGUAGGCGGAUGAUUAAGUCAGGGGUGAAAUCCCGGGGCUCAACCUCGGAACUGCCUUUGAUACUGGUCGUCUUGAGUCCGGGAGAGGUGAGUGGAACUCCUAGUGUAGAGGUGAAAUUCGUAGAUAUUAGGAAGAACACCAGUGGCGAAGGCGGCUCACUGGCCCGGAACUGACGCUGAGGUACGAAAGCGUGGGGAGC